ACAAGCAGUGGGAGCACCUUCGUGGUGUGACUGCGUACCUUUUGUAUAAUGGGUCAGCGACUUAUAUUCAGUAGCGAGGUUAACCGUAUAGGGGAGCCGUAGAGAAAUCGAGUCUUAAUAGGGCGUUUAGUUGCUGGGUAUAGACCCGAAACCAGGCGAUCUAUCCAUGAGCAGGUUGAAGGUUGGGUAACACUAACUGGAGGACCGAACCCACUGUCGUUGAAAAGCCAGGGGAUGACUUGUGGAUAGGGGUGAAAGGCUAAUCAAGCCUGGUGAUAGCUGGUUCUCCCCGAAAGCUAUUUAGGUAGCGCCUCGGACGAAUACCAUAGGGGGUAGAGCACUGUUUCGGCUAGGGGGUCAUCCCGACUUACCAAACCGAUGCAAACUCCGAAUACCUAUGAGUACUAUCCGGGAGACAGACUGCGGGUGCUAACGUCCGUAGUCAAGAGGAAAACAAUCCAGACCGCCAGCUAAGGCCCCAAAAUCAUAGUUAAGUGGGAAACGAUGUGGGAAGGCAUAGACAGCUAGGAGGUUGGCUUAGAAGCAGCCACCCUUUAAAGAAAGCGUAAUAGCUCACUAGUCGAGUCGGCCUGCGCGGAAGAUGUAACGGGGCUAAAACUAUGUGCCGAAGCUGCGGAU
rnacentral:rRNA from 1 species